GAUGAACGCUGGCGGCGUGCUUAACACAUGCAAGUCUAACGAUGAAGCCCAGCUUGCUGGGUGGAUUAGUGGCGAACGGGUGAGUAACACGUGAGUAACCUGCCCUUAACUCUGGGAUAAGCCUGGGAAACUGGGUCUAAUACCGGAUAGGAGCGUCCACCGCAUGGUGGGUGUUGGAAAGAUUUAUCGGUUUUGGAUGGACUCGCGGCCUAUCAGCUUGUUGGUGAGGUAAUGGCUCACCAAGGCGACGACGGGUAGCCGGCCUGAGAGGGUGACCGGCCACACUGGGACUGAGACACGGCCCAGACUCCUACGGGAGGCAGCAGUGGGGAAUAUUGCACAAUGGGCGCAAGCCUGAUGCAGCGACGCCGCGUGAGGGAUGACGGCCUUCGGGUUGUAAACCUCUUUCAGUAGGGAAGAAGCGAAAGUGACGGUACCUGCAGAAGAAGCACCGGCUAACUACGUG
rnacentral:rRNA from 1 species